rnacentral:lncRNA from 1 species
GUUUAACGACUAAAUUGAGGGUAUUUGGACAGUUACAGAGGGUGUGUGCUGUUUGUCAACAAAAACAACAGUCAUGGGCUUGUUAUAAUUAAAAUGCGUGUUUGUCGACUUUUUUCUCAAUAUACGGUCAUAAAUCAAACAAGUUCGUGCUUGUGUCAAUUUCUUUAAUCCAGUCAUGUUUUUGUACCAAUUUGUUCUACGAUUCUUGCGCUUUGGAUAUCAUUCACAGUCCAAAUUUCCUGACACAAAGUCAUUGUAUAAAUAAAGAAAAAAACACGGUUUUCGAUUCACUUGUGACUACCGCAAUUUGCGUUCAAGGACAAGGCGUUUUACUCGUAACUCGAAUAUUUCAUGCCCUUCUCGUUAUCAAUCUCUAUUCUGGGUAGAUGAUGUUGUCAUCAUAGAGCAGCAGAAUAUGUCGACUCAAUCAUUUUCGUUAGAUUACUCGAAGAAAUACAAAAACGAAAUUGAAACGUAAAUAGGAAGUUUUGAAUUAAAUGAAAUUAUCGAUGGUUCCCGGUAACGGACAUGAACAAAAUCCGGAAAUCGUAUUUUUGUUAAAUAAAAAAAAUCGGGGCGGGACGAUUUCAGAGGGGCGGGCGGGGAUGAAAAUCUAGCAAUUAAUUUUAAUUGGCCUAAGCU